CCUACGGGAGGCUGCAGUGAGGAAUAUUGGUCAAUGGGCGCAAGCCUGAACCAGCCAAGUCGCGUGAGGGAUGACGGUCCUAUGGAUUGUAAACCUCUUUUGUCGGGGAGCAAGGCCCGCCACGUGUGGCGGGAAGGAGAGUACCCGAAGAAAAAGCAUCGGCUAACUCCGUGCCAGCAGCCGCGGUAAUACGGAGGAUGCGAGCGUUAUCCGGAUUUAUUGGGUUUAAAGGGUGCGUAGGCGGAAGGUUAAGUCAGCGGUAAAAUGUCGGUGCUCAACACCGGCCGGCCGUUGAAACUGGUCUUCUUGAGUGAGCGAGAAGUAUGCGGAAUGCGUGGUGUAGCGGUGAAAUGCAUAGAUAUCACGCAGAACUCCGAUUGCGAAGGCAGCAUACCGGCGCUCAACUGACGCUGAGGCACGAAAGCGUGGGGAUCGAACAGGAUUAGAUACCCGGGUAGUC
rnacentral:rRNA from 1 species